rnacentral:rRNA from 1 species
GAUGAACGCUGGCGGCGUGCCUAAUACAUGCAAGUCGAGCGAACAGACGAGGAGCUUGCUCCUCUGACGUUAGCGGCGGACGGGUGAGUAACACGUGGAUAACCUCCCUAUAAGACUGGGAUAACUUCGGGAAACCGGAGCUAAUACCGGAUAAUAUAUUGAACCGCAUGGUUCAAUAGUGAAAGACGGUUUUGCUGUCACUUAUAGCUGGAUCCGCGCCGCAUUAGCUAGUUGGUAAGGUAACGGCUUACCAAGGCGACGAUGCGUAGCCGACCUGAGAGGGUGAUCGGCGACACUGGAACUGAGACACGGUCCAGACUCCUACGGGAGGCAGCAGUAGGGAAUCUUCCGCAAUGGGCGAAAGCUUGACGGAGCAACGCCGCGUGAGUGAUGAAGGUCUUCGGAUCGUAAAACUCUGUUAUUAGGGAAGAACAAAUGUGUAAGUAACUAUGCACGUCUUGACGGUACCUAAUCAGAAAGCCACGGCUAACUACGUG